CUCGUAGGUGGCCAACUAAGUCAGACGUGAAAUCCCUCAGCUUAACUGGGGAACUGCGUCUGAUACUGGAUGGCUUGAGUUUGGGAGAGGGAUGCGGAAUUCCAGGUGUAGCGGUGAAAUGCGUAGAUAUCUGGAGGAACACCGGUGGCGAAGGCGGCAUCCUGGACCAAUACUGACACUGAGGAGCGAAAGCAGGGAGACAAACG
rnacentral:rRNA from 1 species